UCCAUUCGGUCCUCCUUUUGUUAACGCUCUGGCAUCAUGUCUACGCCAGCUCCCGCGCAAUCCGGCGCCAUCGCGCUUUGGGCGAGCAUGGCCAUGGGGAGUAGAGAGGUGGAAACCGAGCUGACGCCUGCCUGACCCUGGCGAUGGUGGCGCGCGCCGGGAAGGACUGAUUGGAGAAUGGCGCCAAAUGGGUAGGAACAGGUCACGGAUGGCGAGGGGGCACAGGAGCUCUCGAUGUGACCUGGCGCUGUGGAUGUGAUGCACAGCAGCUUGAGUGGGACUGCUCCGCUGUCCUCAUGAGAGAACGCUUUUUCUGAAGAUGGGAGGUGGCUAAUGAAAGAAGGAAUUGUGUUCUCGGUGAUGCCUGGAAGAGAUGCGUGACGUUGGAAGAUGAUUACGAAAUACAGGAAAGGAAUGAAAUCAAAGGAUGUUUUUUGUAAGAGUAACACUUACAGAAAUAUUCAUUAAUUUGAAGAUUUAUAUAAGGCCUGGUGACCUCCGUUAAUUCCUGGGACCCACAGUGUGGAAGAAGAGACCUGACUCCUGAAAGUUGUCUUCUGACCACAUAUACACAAUAUGUAAAUAAAUGUAAUUAAAAAAUCAAAAUAGUAAAACUGAAA
rnacentral:lncRNA from 1 species